rnacentral:rRNA from 1 species
AAUAUUGCGCAAUGGAGGGAACUCUGUCGCAGCGACGCCGCGCGAGCGAUGAAGGUUUUCGGAUCGUAAAGCCCUGUCCUUGUGGAAGAAGGUCUUCGGACUUGACGGUACCUAAGGAGGAAGCCCCCGCCAACUACGUGCCAGCAGCCGCGGUAAUACGUAGGGGGCAAGCGUUGUCCGGAAUUAUUGGGCGUAAAGGGUGCGUAGGCGGCCCUUUAAGUCAGAUGUGAAAGCCCACGGCUUAACCGUGGGACUGCAUUUGAAACUGGAGGGCUUGAGUGUCGGAGAGGGAAGUGGAAUUCCCAGUGUCGCGGUGGAAUGCGUAGAUAUUGGGAGGAACACCAGUGGCGAAGGCGACUGCCUGGACGAUAACCGACGCUGAGGCACGAAAGCUAGGGGAGCAAAC